AGUGAACGCUGGCGGCAGGCCUAACACAUGCAAGUCGAACGGCAGCACAGUAAGAGCUUGCUCUUACGGGUGGCGAGUGGCGGACGGGUGAGGAAUACAUCGGAACCUUCUUUUUCGUGGGGGAUAACGAAGGGAAACUUACGCUAAUACCGCAUACGAUCUACGGGUGAAAGCAGGGGAUCUUCGCACCUUUUGCGACUGAACUAGCCGAUGACGGAUUAGCUAGUUGGCGGGGUAAAGGCCCACCAUGUCGACGAUCCGUAGCUGGGCGGAGAGGAUGAUCGGCCACACUGGAACUGAGACACGGUCCAGACUCCUACGGGAGGCAGCAGUGGGGAAUAUGAGGCAAAGGGCGGAAGCCUGAUCCAACCAUACCGCGUGGGUGAAGAAGGCCUUCGGGUUGUAAAGCCCUUUUGUUGGGAAAGAAAAGCAGCAGGUUAAUACCCCGCUGUUCUGACGGUACCCAAAGAAUAAGCACCGGCUAACUUCGUG
rnacentral:rRNA from 1 species